GGGGCCGUAGUCUAACUUGGUUAGGACUUCGGUCUUGGGCACCGACAAUCCAGGUUCAAAUCCUGGCGGCCCCA
rnacentral:tRNA from 1 species